UUGAAAACUGAUCUCACAGAGCAUGAGGAGUAUUUCAUGUCAGCAGCUCCCAGUAUCAGAAGAGAAAAAGCAUUUGUCUGUAACAGCCAAUGCAGAGCAGCAAGAUACAUGUUUUAUGAGGUGUACCUUACUGGAAGCAAGAUGUGAAGGAAUACAAGAUGCUUUUGGUGAGGAGACGGAUAUUUUCUGCAGCAGAUGAAGCACAGUCUUUGGUCAAGUGCAGGGAGCUGAGAACUACCAGGAACCACCAGGAGUGGCAAAAAGGACAGUUAUGGAGGGAAG